UUGAACGCUGGCGGCAUGCUUUACACCUGCAAGUCGAACGGCAGCGGGGUAGUGCUUGCACUACUGCCGGCGAGUGGCGAACGGGUGAGUAAUAUAUCGGAACGUACCGAGUAAUGGGGGAUAACCAAUCGAAAGAUUGGCUAAUACCGCAUACGUCCUGAGGGAGAAAGCGGGGGAUCGCAAGACCUCGCGUUAUUCGAGCGGCCGAUAACUGAUUAGCUAGUUGGUGGGGUAAAGGCCUACCAAGGCGACGAUCAGUAGCGGGUCUGAGAGGACGAUCCGCCACACUGGGACUGAGACACGGCCCAGACUCCUACGGGAGGCAGCAGUGGGGAAUUUUGGACAAUGGGGGCAACCCUGAUCCAGCCAUGCCGCGUGUAUGAAGAAGGCCUUCGGGUUGUAAAGUACUUUUGUUAGGGAAGAAAAGGGAAGUGCUAAUACCACUUUUUGCUGACGGUACCUAAAGAAUAAGCACCGGCUAACUACGUG
rnacentral:rRNA from 1 species